AGGUGCAUCCAUGAGAAAAAUCUUUAGACCAACAUCCUAGUUGACAAGUGGCCACUUGUGAGCAGCCUGAAAUGAUUGCUCAGAUCGUUCAAUCUCCUACAAUUAUUAUGAAAGUUCAUUUCAUGCUGCUGCAAUCAUAACUAAAAUGUGAUUCGUGAAAUGACAAAAUGGUCCAAUGCACCUUUUCGAUGCAACAGUAAAUAUGAAAACACAAAAGGUGGCAUCUCAAAUGCGCACUAGAAAUUAAGCUUAGAACUCAAAGACUGACAUACUUCCUUCACCUG
rnacentral:lncRNA from 1 species